AAUAUUGGGCAAUGGACGGGAGUCUGACCCAGCCAUGCCGCGUGUAGGAAGACUGCUUUCGGGUUGUAAACUACUUUUAUAUCUGAGGAAUUGUGUCUAUGCGUAGAUACUUGACGUUAGGAUAAGAAUAAGCACCGGCUAACUCCGUGCCAGCAGCCGCGGUAAUACGGAGGGUCCGAGCGUUAUCCGGAUUUAUUGGGUUUAAAGGGUGCUUAGGCGGGAAUUUAAGUCAGCUGUGAAAGUUUGAGGCUCAACCUUAAAAUUGCAGUUGAAACUGGAUUUCUUGAGUAUACUGAAGGUUGGUGGAAUUCGUGGUGUAGCGGUGAAAUGCUUAGAUAUCACGAAGAACUCCUAUUGCGAAGGCAACUGACUGUAGUAUAACUGACGCUGAAUCACGAAAGCGUGGGUAUCAAACAGGAUUAGAUACCCUGGUAGUCCACGCUGUA
rnacentral:rRNA from 1 species